GGUAGUCUCUAGAGGGAAGGGAGAACCCCUGUAAAGAGGAGACCAAAGCCUCGUAAACCUUGUAUAUAGUGUUGCUGGUGGUGGGUACUAAUUGUAAAUAAAAACCAUGGGUGCUGCAAAAGCCUGAAGCCUGAAGGUGCUUUAUUGAAGGAGCCCAGAGCAGCAGGAAGGCAGGCCAGGAAAGGGACCUGGUUACAGGCAUAUAUUUCUUCACAUAGUAUUAGGAAACCUUAAGUCUGCAAAAGCAGGAGAGAUAUUAAUAGGAACAGAGGUGCAUUCCUGAUCAUGCAGGAUCUCUUUGCACUUCCUGUCCAGCUGACCAUAUUUGACAUGCAAGACUCUGCAUCUGCACUGAGCAGGAACCAUCCCUGAGGGCUAUUCUGCAAACGCCAUUCUAAAAUCUGGGAAGUAUUAUGUGGGGAGGAAGGAAAGUGCCUAGAAGUGCCAGUCAUAGACCAAGACCCCAUUGUGCUGCGUGCUGUGCACGAACAAAAAGACAGUCCCUGCCCCCUGGAGCUUACAUUCCUAUUUUGUCUUGAAAUGAAAGGAAGAGAAAACAAAGUGGGUC